rnacentral:misc_RNA from 1 species
GCACCCUGGACACUUUUGCACUAAGAACAUUUGUCUUGUCAGAGAAGAGUUUGACAAGUAUUUCAGUGUUCACAGUCUUCGCCAGAUUACCCACGUAAACCUUGUGUGGGCUGUCGACAAAUUUAGAUUCCUCAGCUUGGAGGACAGAGAACUCAACUGACAAUGGUUUUUCUGUCACGUUAACUUUGAUCUUUCGACCUCCAAUUUCCGUGUCAUUCAGCUUCUCAAUAGCAACAGUGGCAUCUUCUACUGUGCUCAUUGUGACAAAAGCAAACCGUCGGCUCCUGCCGGAGUAUUUGUCAUACAUAACCUCUGCCUUCUCGACGGAGCCAUGCUCGGCGAAGAUGCCGGCGAGCUCUUCAUUCUUAACAUUCCUCGGGAUGUUACCCACGUAGAGCCUCCGGGCGACGUCGGCAUCCUGGGCCCUCGGAGGAGCCUCCGCGGCUACGGCUGAGAUCGUGAGAGAGCUCCUCCUUAUGUUUGGGAAUGAGAUGCGGGAGCACCGGUAAGACAGCGGCUUGGAUACUGGAUUGGGUGUGUGGAGGAGAUUUGGGGAGGAAAACGAGGAGAUCGACGCCAUGGAGGCGGAGGCGGAGGCGGAGG